rnacentral:rRNA from 1 species
AGGAUGAACGCUGGCGGCGUGCUUAACACAUGCAAGUCGAACGAUGAAGGCUGGAGCUUGCUCUGGCUGGAUUAGUGGCGAACGGGUGAGUAACACGUGAGUAACCUGCCCCAGACUCUGGGAUAAGCGCUGGAAACGGCGUACUAAAUACCGGAUACGAGCUUCCACCGCAUGG